rnacentral:rRNA from 1 species
AGAGUUUGAUCAUGGCUCAGAAUGAACGCUGGCGGCGCGCCUAAUACAUGCAAGUCGAGCGAGAAGACGUAGCAAUACGUUUGUAAAGCGGCGAACGGGUGAGGAAUACAUGGGUAACCUACCCUCGAGUGGGGAAUAACUAGCCGAAAGGUUAGCUAAUACCGCGUACGCUCCUUGGACUUCGGUUCAGGGAGGAAAGCGAUACCGUGGGUAUCGCGCUCUUGGUUGGGCUCAUGUCCUAUCAGCUUGUUGGUGAGGUAACGGCUCACCAAGGCUUCGACGGGUAGCUGGUCUGAGAGGACGAUCAGCCACACUGGCACUGCGACACGGGCCAGACUCCUACGGGAGGCAGCAGUAAGGAAUAUUGCGCAAUGGGCGAAAGCCUGACGCAGCGACGCCGCGUGGGGGAUGAAGGUCUUCGGAUUGUAAACCCCUUUCGGGAGGGAAGAUGGAACGAGCAAUCGUUCGGACGGUACCUCCAGAAGCAGC